rnacentral:rRNA from 1 species
AUGAGUGCGCUGCUGCUGCCCAUCGGAACGCUUCAACAAAUUGACAAACGCUGUAGGGCCUUCUUCUGGUCAGGGCAGGAUAAAACUACGGGAGGGCAAUGCAAAGUGGCUUGGGACCUUGUGUGCGCUCCAUUCGUGAACGGGGGUCUAGGCUUCUCCUCGCUCAAACACAUGAAUGUCUGUCUUCUUCUUCGUCACCUGUCAAAACUGCAUGACUCUGGCGCUGCCCCAGCCCCGUCCUACCUAGUUACCAAAUAUGGCUGGUCUCCUACCCACGACCUGGGCGCUGGGGAUUCAGCUGCGUCGCCAGUCUGGCGCGAUAUCUUUAAACACCUUGACUUCUUCCGAUCCAUUACGUCGGUUAAACUCGGGAAUGGGGCCACCACCUCGUUCUGGAAUGAUCUUUGGCUCCCAAACAACCAAACUACUCUUGCAUCUCAGUUUGCUGCUCUCUACACUCACUCCAAUAGGCAGUCGGCCUCAGUUGCUAGAGUGCUGGAUUCGCCA